AUUAUAUUAUUAAAAGAUACAUAUAAACAACAAAAUUUGUUCGCUUUAUCUAGAAAUAAACAUAACUUAAAAUAUAAAAUAAUUAGGUUUCAAAUUUGAAAUAUCUGGUACCAUUAAACUGUUUGUCAUUUGUACUAGAAAUGGUCGAUAACGUUGUUGUUCUUGUUCUGAUGUAAAGCAUAGUUAUUUUGUUGGAAGUGAGGAGCGGAAGAGACAGACGUGAGGAAUAAAUAAAUAUGAAUAUUUGGAGA
rnacentral:lncRNA from 1 species